GACGAACGCUGGCGGCGUGCCUAAUACAUGCAAGUUGAGCGAUGAAGAUUGGUGCUUGCACCAAUUUGAAGAGCAGCGAACGGGUGAGUAACGCGUGGGGAAUCUGCCUUUGAGCGGGGGACAACAUUUGGAAACGAAUGCUAAUGCCGCAUAAUAACUUUAAACAUAAGUUUUAAGUUUGAAAGAUGCAAUUGCAUCACUCAAAGAUGAUCCCGCGUUGUAUUAGCUAGUUGGUGAGGUAAAGGCUCACCAAGGCGAUGAUACAUAGCCGACCUGAGAGGGUGAUCGGCCACAUUGGGACUGAGACACGGCCCAAACUCCUACGGGAGGCAGCAGUAGGGAAUCUUCGGCAAUGGACGAAAGUCUGACCGAGCAACGCCGCGUGAGUGAAGAAGGUUUUCGGAUCGUAAAACUCUGUUGGUAGAGAAGAACGUUGGUGAGAGUGGAAAGCUCAUCAAGUGACGGUAACUACCCAGAAAGGGACGGCUAACUACGUG
rnacentral:rRNA from 1 species